CCUAAUUUUAUUUUAUCUUAAUCUUAAAUCUAUAAGGGAUCUUGGUAUUUUGAGAUGUGAUCUUAUGCAUGCAUAUAUGAUUAAAAUAGUUUUAAUCUAUUUUUUCUACUAUAUUUUAAAAUUUUAAUAUUGCAUACUAUCGAAUUUUCUAAUAGUGGCACUAGAGCCACCCUCAUAUGAUUAAGAUUAGGAUCUUAAAUAUGAAAAUAUUGAU
rnacentral:lncRNA from 1 species